GUUAUUGUAUCAAUACUAGGUUAAUGUUUUGUGAAAAAAAAAUUGAUACGGUAUCGGUUAUACUGAAAAAAAUAUGACAGUUAGUACCUUAAUCAUAUAAAAACUGGAUAAAAGCAUUUUAAUUUUGCAUCAGUGUAAUUUCUAAUCGUAUUUUCAUAAUCCAUACUAUUGUAUAAAAUAUAUUGCACGAUGAGGCGAAAGGCAGGCGUUGGUGCUAUCCAAAAACAAAAGCUGGAGCAAGAAAAAUAUAAAGAUAAGGGAACUGAGAUUCAAGAAAAUCAAUUUGAGCAAAUGACAAAACAGAUGGAAACUUUUCGUGUGAAUCUAGAGGAAUUCGCAACAAAGUAUAAAAAUGAAAUUAAAAAAAAUGCACGUUUUCGGCGGCAAUUUACCGAAAUGUGUGCAUCAAUAGGUGUAGAUCCUUUAGCCUCAGGUAAAGGAUUUUGGUCAGUUCUUGGCAUAGGAGACUUUUAUUAUGAACUUGCUGUUCAAAUUGUUGAAGUUUGUAUGGCUACAAAUUAUAAAAAUGGUGGAUUAAUAUCAUUGGAUGAACUUAGAGCAAGAUUAAUUCAAGCUAGAGGUCGUAGAAAAGAACAUCAAGAAAUUACAAAUGAAGACUUACUAGCUGCAGCUAAAAAAUUAAAAAUUUUUGGAAAUGGAUUUUCUAUUGUUCCAAUUGGAAGAGGUAAACACUUAGUACAAUCUGUACCUGGUGAACUCAGUAUGGACCAUACUGCUGUAUUACAACAAGCUAGUUUAUCUGGAAAUGCAUAUGUUUCAAGAUCCAUGUUAUGUAAAGAAUUAAAAUGGGAAUCAGAUAGGACACAGAAAGCUUUGGACCAUAUGGUAAAAGAAGGAUUGGCAUGGUUAGAUGAACAAGUUGGCGUGCUUGAGCCUCCCUGAAAACCUUAAGCUCGUCCGCAGUCAUGCCCUUGUAACGUGAGGCCAACGGUUUGUGCGGUCCAUGAAUGCUCUCCGCCUGCUCUUUGGCUUCCGUAAGGAAGUCUCCAGUCACGUGAUUGUAGAUAUCCGCCUUCUUGUCCUCCUCCUCUUGAAGGGCUUCGCAACGGCGACGGUAUUCCUGUUCCUCUGCCUAUCGUUGGAAGGGGAAAAACGAAGCCGGUCAUUCGACCAAAACGUACGUCCAACGGAGCGUGUCAGCUCGAAAAGAAAAAAAAAAAAAAGUCAAGGACGGGAACGCGUGGAAAGAGAUGGGGAAGCGAUUGGAUGAUCGUUCGCCGUAUUAUUACCGAGACUCGUGAGUCGAUGACGUCACCAAGUUUGCUCAUCGACCGUAUAGCAGCCUCACUGUAAACGGUGCUCACCUUCGGCGAAGGUUUAUGUUAACUGUGUGUGGAUCGUGUUCAGGACGCGUGUUAAGCGACCGAGUAACAAUGAUUCGCUCAUCGACGAUACGGUGACACAAGGGGAAUAUCAUCAGCGACCAGAACAGAACACUCGUAUCAAGAAUAACGAGAUUUUGUUACCGUUGAACUUUGACAUUUCACGGUUCAACGUCAUUGGCUCGUUCUCGUGACAAGAGAAGAGGCUUACGAGAGGGAGAUUUUAAAUCAAUUAAUGCGAUGGAGAGUCAUCAAGCGUUAAUUAUCUGAAUUUUCACUUUCUCGUCGUACACGAGCAUCGAUACCAACACGCAAAUAACUAGGAGAGUAUCAAAACAAGUUUCCGAAACACGCAGUUCCCGGAUGUUUGAUCAAAGGACUAAAUAGAAGAAAGCCUUACCAUGGCUUGAUUAAAUCGUGCGGUGGCUUCGUUCAACUUUCGACGACAAUCUUCUUCCAUCUGAGCUAUCUUCAUGGCACGCUUGUCUCUGGAAAGGAUGGCUGCUUCUUGGGCUUUCUCGAGUUCCUUCCGUUCGCUCUCGGCGGACUGAUGUUCCUGCAUUUGUUUCUCGAACCACCACCUCAUCUCUUCCUUCUUUGCCUUCGACUUUUCCUUAAAAUCAUCCUCUUCACUUUUUAAUCUGCACGGUUUUUGGAAAAAAUUAAAUAUUUUAACGAAAUUAUCGGAGAGAAAUGGAAUCAAUCGUGGCAAUAAUUACAGCUCGCUAAAGGAUAGAUCGCGUUCGCCUUUUUUCGGCAGGUCGCAUUCCUGACGUUGUUGAUAUUGCUGUCUAUAAUGCUCGAUCUCCUUGUGGAUCUUUCGCCUUUCCUGGAAUAUCAAUCACAGAUAAAACGUGUAAUCCUAGUUUCGCUAAGAAAGAAGAAAAGAACAAUCAAGUAGACGGAUGAACCAAACCGAUCUUACAACUUUGAAGCAAAAUCUCGUCGAGUUCGGAUUCUCGGGCUUCUUCCAGUUCACGUUGCUGCUUCUUUUCCUCGACCUGUUUGUCCAAAAAUUCCUUGUCUAUCUGCGGAAAUUACAUGUAUAAAAAUCGUUAUCACACGAUAAUGAAUCACAAUACAUAUCGUUCUUUCGCGUGCGGAUUCUUUUUUUUAUCAUUUCACACGAAUACACAGGAAUCGAUCGUAUAACACGCCAACAAA